ACUCUGAAUGUUCUGGGAUGAGCCAGUAUUCAGGUGGGCAUUUCAUUACAAGAGGAUUUGAUGGUAAGCAGGGGAAUGGUGCACUGUAAAAAUAAGCCUGGUGAAGUUGGCAGAGGAAGGCCUAGUUUUGAAAAGCUGGCAGAAACUGCCCUUGCUGCAAUGAAGGCCUGCUUAGAUAGCAGUGGAAUAUGAGGCCCAGUAGCUGUUGCCUUUAAUUCCCUUGCAUCCUGACAGGAAAGGAGAGAAAGCACUUUAUCAGGCACAUGUGUGCUUGGGAGCGAGCAGGACCUCAAGAACAGUGCAUCCCUCUGAGUAAGAAGUCCAGCAAAGCAGGCAGGAGACCUGCAUGGCUGAGCAAGGAACUCCUGGCAAAACUCCAACAGAAGCAGGAAGUCCACAGAAUGUGGAAAAGGGGACAGGCCACUUGGGAGGAAUACAGGGACGUUGUCAGAGCGUGCAGGGAUGCGACGAGGAAGGCUAAGGCCCAGUUGGAAUUAAAUCUGGCAAGGGAUGUCAAGGACAACAAGAAGGGCUUCUUCAAAUACAUCAAGAGUGAAAGGACGACUAGGGAAAAUGUGGGCCCGCUGCUGAAUGGGGGGGGUGCCCUGGUGACAAAGGAUACAGAGAAGGCAGAGCUGCUGAAUGCCUUCUUUGCUUCAGUCUUCACUGCUAAGGCCAGCCCUGAGGAAUUCCAGACCCUGGGGACAAGAGAGGAAGUCUGGAGAAAGGAAGACUCCCCCUUGGUCGAGGAGGAUCGAGUUAGAGAUCAUUUGUGGAAACCUGACAUCCACAAAUCCACGGGCCCCAAUGGGAUACACUCCCGAGUGGUGAGGGAGCUGGCGGAUGUUACUGCUAGGCUGCUCUCCAUCAUCUUGGAAAGGUCCUGGCAGUCAGGAGAGGUGCCUGAGGACUGCAAGAAAGCCAGUGUCACUGCAGUCUCCAAAAAGGGCAAGAAGGAGGAGCCAGGGAACUCCAGGCCUGUCAGCCUCCCCUCCAUCCCUGGAAAGGUGAUGGAACAGCUCCUCCUGGAGGUCCUCACUAAGCAUGUGGAGGACAAGAAGGUGAUCAGGAGUAGUCAGCAUGGAUUCACCAAAGGGAAAUCAUGCUNNNNNNNNNNNNN
rnacentral:lncRNA from 1 species